ACUUUCUCAAUUAGAUAUACCCUAGGCUAGGAAUGAAUGAAUGAUUCUGGUGACCAGUGACCACUGUUGCACUGCGCAUGAGGCUCUGGUCUUCUUGAGUUCUUGUUAUCUCUUGCCGCAUUUUCAGCCAACUCCAACACCUCGGCAGCAAGGUAUUGAAGAAUAGCAGCCAACUCCAAUACGCUGGGCAUAACGACCGUUCUUCAAGAAACGAGCAAUACGACCAACAGAAAACUGAAGACCAACUUUGAUUUAUUUGGUUACAGACUUCUUCCUUGGGCCACCCUUUCUUCCUCCGGCACCUUUGGUUGUCUUAGUAGCAUCCAUUGCUCUAAAUUUCUGUGUGAAUAAAAAGCUUAAAGAGAAGAAGAAGGCAAGAAGCUUUGAGUAUUUUGAUUGAGAUUUGAAUUUGAUAAAUUCAAGAUUUGGAUUUUGUUUAUCUGUUUGCUUUCUGAAAAGUACUUCCUCUAAAGUGUAUGGCUAUGGCCUGUGGCCUUAUGUUUUUAAUGGCUCUAUUUCUCUUUCACGUUUCUGGGUUUUUUAAUUCUUUGCUGUUUAUUUCUGAAGAAGUUUCCAUACUUGUGUUUUUAACAUCUCCAUCUACCUAAAUAGAAGUAUGUUACCCUUGACAUGCCCAGUGAAAUAUGAAGAUGAUUAUCUUCUGUGUCCUUUUAAAUAUGAAUAGUUAGUUCAUCUUAAUGGAUCUUGUUUUCAUAGGAGAAACAUAGUAUAGCAAUUUAGAACAUAGAACUUAUUUAAGCUUCUUUAAUAGCUUCCGUAUUGUAUUUUUUGAUUUUAUUUUACACUUCCAAUUUGUGUCUUAUAAUAUUUGUAAUCUCUUCUAUGUUUAGAUGGAAGAUGAAACAAGUCGAACAACCAAUGUUAGUGUAAGCGCACCUCUGGCUCUUACUGAGUCUCUUAAUUCAACAUCGGAAGUUGAACAACAUUCAGUAACUGUGAAGAGAAAAGCUAUAGAAUCAAGAUUUGCUGCUUGGCCGCAUUAUGAUAAGCUCAUAGAAGAUGGAAUUAAUAAAGCAAAGCGCAAGCAUUGUGGUAAAUGGCAGUUUUCAGUACUGAAACACCAAGAGAAAAGGGCAAACAGAUACCAAAGAAAUACAUGAUUCGCCAUAGUUGCUUUCUUGAUCGAUGAAUCAAGUUUGUCAUUUCUAGAACUCCUCCAGUUUUUACAUGGGCAAAUGACUUGUACAUUAUAGCCAGGUAAGAACCAUUAGAUUUGCUAUGGGAUUUGUCAUUCUCAGUUACUGGUGAUGGCACAAAUGAUGCUCCUGCUCUCAACGAGGCAGAUAUUGGAUUUGCUAUGGGUAUUGCAGGCACAGAGGUUUGUAAAUUGCUCCCGAGUCCUGUCAUAGGUCCAAAAAUUGCCUAAGAGAAGGGAAGCGCCAACGUAAUAUGGAAUGGCUCUUGAAAUGUUUCAAAUAUCAGCACCCUGGCUCAGUUGAAUUCUCAGUUGUAUUCGAUCAAUUGUUUAGUUUGUUAUUAAAAAUCUUCACAUCUUUUAUUGUGCUAUUGUGAAUAUGAUGUACUAACAUAUUUCGUGUGGACUUCAACUUCAAUAUGGUAUUACCGAAUACCGUACCGAAUCGAAUUUUGAUUUACCGAUUA